rnacentral:rRNA from 1 species
GACAGAGGGGGCAAGCGUUGCUCGGAAUCACUGGGCGUAAAGGGCGCGUAGGCGGGAUGGCAAGUCGGUCGUGAAAUCCUUCGGCUCAACCGAAGAACGUCGGCCGAUACUGCCGUUCUUGAGGGAUGCAGAGGAGAUUGGAAUUCCCGGUGUAGCGGUGAAAUGUGUAGAGAUCGGGAGGAACACCGGUGGCGAAGGCGACUUCCUGGACCAAUACUGACGCUCAGGUGACGAAAGCGUGGGGAGCAAACAGG